AUUGAACGCUGGCGGCAGGCCUAACACAUGCAAGUCGAACGAGUGGCGGACGGGUGAGUAAUGUCUGGGAAACUGCCCGAUGGAGGGGGAUAACUACUGGAAACGGUAGCUAAUACCGCAUACCAUCGGAUGUGCCCAUAUGGGAUUAGCUAGUAGGUGGGGUAACGGCUCACCUAGGCGACGAUCUCUAGCUGGUCUGAGAGGAUGACCAGCCACACUGGAACUGAGACACGGUCCAGACUCCUACGGGAGGCAGCAGUGGGGAAUAUUGCACAAUGGGCGCAAGCCUGAUGCAGCCAGGCCGCGUGUAUGAAGAAGGCCUUAGGGUUGUAAAGUACUUUCAGCGAGGAGGCGUUACUCGCAGAAGAAGCACCGGCUAACUCCGUGCCAGCAGCCGCGGUAAUUC
rnacentral:rRNA from 1 species